GACGAACGCUGGCGGCGUGCCUAAUACAUGCAAGUCGAGCGGACUUGAUGGAGUGCUUGCACUCCUGAAGGUUAGCGGCGGACGGGUGAGUAACACGUAGGCAACCUGCCCUCAAGACUGGGAUAACUACCGGAAACGGUAGCUAAUACCGGAUAAUUUAUUUUGCAGCAUUGUGAAAUAAUGAAAGGCGGAGCAAUCUGUCACUUGAGGAUGGGCCUGCGGCGCAUUAGCUAGUUGGUGGGGUAACGGCUCACCAAGGCGACGAUGCGUAGCCGACCUGAGAGGGUGAACGGCCACACUGGGACUGAGACACGGCCCAGACUCCUACGGGAGGCAGCAGUAGGGAAUCUUCCGCAAUGGGCGAAAGCCUGACGGAGCAACGCCGCGUGAGUGAUGAAGGUUUUCGGAUCGUAAAGCUCUGUUGCCAAGGAAGAACGUCUUCUAGAGUAACUGCUAGGAGAGUGACGGUACUUGAGAAGAAAGCCCCGGCUAACUACG
rnacentral:rRNA from 1 species